rnacentral:rRNA from 1 species
GAUGAACGCUGGCGGCGUGCCUAAUACAUGCAAGUCGAGCGAACGGACGAGAAGCUUGCUUUUCUGAUGUUAGCGGCGUACGGGUGAGUAACACGUGGAUAACCUACCUAUAAGACUGGGAUAACUUCGGGAAACCGGAGCUAAUACCGGAUAAUAUUUUGAACCGCAUGGUUCAAAAGUGAAAGACGGUCUUGCUGUCACUUAUAGAUGGAUCCGCGCUGCAUUAGCUAGUUGGUAAGGUAACGGCUUACCAAGGCAACGAUGCAUAGCCGACCUGAGAGGGUGAUCGGCCACACUGGAACUGAGACACGGUCCAGACUCCUACGGGAGGCAGCAGUAGGGAAUCUUCCGCAAUGGGCGAAAGCCUGACGGAGCAACGCCGCGUGAGUGAUGAAGGUCUUCGGAUCGUAAAACUCUGUUAUUAGUGAAGAACAUAUGUGUAAGUAACUGUGCACAUCUUGACGGUACCUAAUCAGAAAGCCACGGCUAACUACGUG